rnacentral:lncRNA from 1 species
CCGAAGCGACGUGGUCAUCGGGAGCGACAUCGAUGGUAGCGCGUACAUCCUUUGAGAAAACAUAGAAGUAGCUACCGAGGAGAGAGAGACAUCGAUAUAUUGGGGCUCUAAAUCAGUCAUUAAGGUGCCUAGUUCAUCGCAGUAUUCAUUCAACUUCCAACCAUGAAGGGCAGGCGUUACAUGGCAUCGCACAAUUCGUUUGCAGAUCCAUCUCUACCGGAACAGGAUGGAGAGGAGUGGAUCUUUGGAGAGACUCGUUGAUGUCCUGAUUUGCUUGCAUCGCGCAA